rnacentral:tRNA from 5 species
GGGCAGGUAGCUCAGUCGGUACGAGCGCUCGCCUGAAAAGUGAGAGGUCGGCGGUUCGACCCCGCCCCUGCCCACCC